UCACACUAGUUUGUUUCCUCUAUUUCACACACACACUCUCUCUCUCUCUAGAAAAUAAAAAUUUAAUGCUAUAACCCCUUAAAAUCCCCAAUUCAUAAACCCAAAUUCUCCACAUUCCUUAUCAAAUCUCUCUCUUAAUGGAAACAAAUGCAACCCACAAAACUCCUAAACCCUAAAGCCGCCACCAAGGCGGCUGCUGCGGCAGCCGUUACCACCACCAUGCCAAAUGAACUGCUGGCACAGAAACCAUCAGCAUCGUCAGUUCUUGACAAGUUCCGGUCUUUAUUGAAGCAACGACAAGGAUCAGCAGUGGAGGACGAUGGUGGUGGUGACGGGGCGAGUUUGCGUCUGGAGGAUGUGGUGGAGAUUUAUGAGACGGUUUUGAAUGAAUUGACGUUUAAUUCAAAACCUAUAAUUACAGAUUUGACUAUUAUUGCUGGAGAACAGCGGGAGCAUGGUGAGGGUAUUGCUGAUGUUCUCUGUGCCCGCAUUGUUGAGGCCCCUGUAGAUCAAAAGCUGCCUUCAUUAUAUCUUCUAGAUAGCAUUGUCAAGAAUAUUGGCCGUGAAUACAUUAGGCACUUCUCGUCCCGUUUGCCUGAGGUUUUUUGCGAGGCAUACAGACAAGUUGACCCUAGCUUAUAUCCUUCAAUGCGCCACCUUUUUGGCACAUGGUCCUCAGUGUUUCCAUCUUCUGUACUUCACAAGAUUGAGACUCAACUUCAUUUUUCUCCACAAGUUAAUGAUCAGUCAUCAAGCUUGACUUCCUUUAGAGCUUCUGAAUCACCCAGACCACCUCAUGGCAUACAUGUGAACCCAAAAUACUUGCGUCAGCUGGAUCAUUCAACUGCAGAUAAUACAGGGUGGUCAAUACAAACAUACAAAGCUAAAAAUGUAAUUCAAUCUUUGCAGAAUGUUCAGCACGCUAAGGGAACUUCUUCAAAUCUGAAAAUAUAUGGUAAAAAACCUACUGUUGGAUAUGAUGAAUAUGAAAGUGAUCAAGCAGAGGCCAUAUCUUCACAGGUUGGAGUGGGCCGUACAUCUCUCACUCUUGGAUCUAAUAAGCUGCAACCAUCUUCAACUUCCAGGCUUGCAAGACGCUUGUCGCCUUCAACAACUGGAGCCGAGAGGCCUUUAUCUUCAGAAAUUGAUGACUUUGCAGUAGGGAAUUCUCCUCGAAGGUUUGUUGAGGCGCUGUCCCCAUCUCAUCCUCUAUUUGAUUAUGGACACAGCAGAGCCAUUGUCAGAGAUGAGGAGGCAAAUGAAUUAAGAAGAAAUAAUUAUUCUGAUGAUAACCAUAACCGAUUUGAACCUUCUGCUAGAUAUAGGCUUAGCAAUGGACUUGAACAUCAAGGACCCAGAGCUUUAAUAGAUGCAUAUGGGGAUGAUAGGGGGAAAAGAAUUACAAGUAGUAAACCUCUGCAUAUUGAACAGUUAGCCGUAAAUGGCGUGCACAAUAAGGUAGCUUCAAGAUCAUGGCAGAAUACUGAAGAAGAGGAAUUUGAUUGGGAAGAUAUGAGCCCUACUUUGUCAGAGCGUGGUAGGAGUAAUGAUUUCUUGCCAUCAUCUAUUCCACCUUUUGGAAGUGUUGUUCCAAGGCCUGCCUUUGGAAGGCUAAGUGCUAUCCAUGCGGAAUCUGAUAUCAGGAGCAAUCGAUCUAGUCUGGCUCCAAUGGCAUUUGUGGAUGGCUCCUCUAAUAUUGCUGAAGAAGCAGUCUCGAUUCUGGGUUCUGGCCGUGGAUCAACAAGCAAGAUUCCUGGAUUCCGAACUGAGAGAAAUCAGAUCUCGGGUUCCCGUCAUCAUCAAGAAGCUUGGAAUUUUCCACCUCACAUCCAUCAGUCAGCACAUCUCCUGAAUUCUAAAGGAAGAGGACGGGAUUUCCAGAUGCCCUUAUCUGGAAGUGGUGUGUCUUCUUUGGGUGGUGAGAAUUACUCUCCACUUGCUGAAAAACUUCCAGAUAUUGAUGCACAGCUUAAUAGGCCUCCUGCCAUUGCAUCAAGAUGGGGCUCUAAUAUUGACUCUACUAGUUCAGGGACCUGGUCAAGUGUUGCGCCACCAUCAUCAGGGGUCUGGCCUCCAGUAAAUGCACGAAAGUCUCUGCCACCUCCUGUGCAUCGUAUUUUUCCUCCACCAGAGCAGAGUAGAAGUCAGUUUGAUCCAAUAAAUGCCAGCAGCACUGUCAUAAAUCAGGUUUUACAAAAGGGUUCAGUUAUGCCUGAACAACCAUUUAAUAGUUUUGAGAACAAAGAUUACAAUUCGAUGAAGCCAACACCAAUGUCUAAUCAGCAUGCUGCUUUGAAUCAGCAAAACCAGGCACAUGUAAAUCCUUUUCAGCCACAACAACUUCCAUCUCAUGAAGCCCGAGAGAAUUUUCAUCCAUCUGGGGUAACUUCAAUGCCACCUCGUCCCCUGGCACCACCACUGAAUCAUGGAUACAACACUCACGGGCAUAGCACUGCCAUUAGUAUGGUUCCUUCAAAUGCAUUACCUGCUGUACAACUGCCUUUACCAGUCAACAAUAUUCCAAAUAUGUUGCAUUCACAGGUGGGGGUUCGGCCACCUUUGCCACCUGGUCCUCCUCCCCAAACAAUGCCUUUCCCUCAGAAUGCUAGUUCAGGUGUCCCCGGCCAACCAUCUGGCAGUGCAUUUUCGGGUUUGUUUAACUCUCUCAUGGCACAAGGAUUGAUCUCAUUGACAAAACAAACUCCUGUGCAGGACUCUGUGGGACUUGAGUUCAAUGCUGACCUUCUCAAGCUGCGCUAUGAAUCUGCAAUCAGUGCAUUGUAUGGUGAUCUGCCAAGACAAUGCACAACAUGUGGCCUUCGGUUCAAGUGUCAAGAAGAGCACAGUACUCACAUGGAUUGGCAUGUUACGAAAAACCGGAUGUCUAAGAACCGGAAGCAGAAAUCUUCUCGCAACUGGUUUGUAAGUGCAAGUAUGUGGCUCAGUGGUGCAGAGGCAUUGGGAACUGAUGCAGCUCCUGGUUUUUUGCCCACUGAGACCACUGUGGAGAAGAAGGACGAUGAUGAAAUGGCUGUUCCUGCUGACGAAGAGCAGAGUACAUGUGCAUUAUGUGGAGAGCCUUUUGAUGAUUUCUACAGUGAUGAAACUGAGGAAUGGAUGUAUAGAGGAGCUGUCUACCUGAAUUCAUCUAAUGGAUCAACAGCAGGCAUGGAUAGGUCUCAGUUAGGUCCUAUAGUACAUGCUAAAUGCAGAUCCGAUUCUAGUGUGGUUCCCCCUGAAGAUUUUGGACAUGAUGAAGGGGGAAAUUCUGAAGAGGGUAAUCAAAGAAAACGAAUGCGGAGCUAACCUUUAUUAGAUCGGCUUCCAAGUCUCAUGUAACUUUGAGUUUCAUCAUGUUAGUGAUUUGCUGCUGGGUGCUUAUAAUGCUGAAAAGAAUGUGAUGUGGAACGGACGAAUGGUAGCCUUUUAUUCCGAGGACACCCAGUAGAAUCUACUGUAAUUAUUAGACUGCUGGGUUGUCUACUCUUUGCAGAUUGUUUUGAUUUUCUGCAGGGACUGCAAACAUCUCCAGUUAUUCACAUUCAGUUUAUUCUCUUGAAGGCUGGAACGUCGCAUAAUAAGCUUAGUUCCUCCCAAAUUGAUGGAUUGGUGGCAGCAAAAGCACUCUUUGCCUUUUCCUGGUGUUGAUUAUCUGUAUUUGUUGAAUUACAUCAUUUCUAUUUGAAGUAGAGUACUAAUGCUACUAUCUUAAAAUAUCCUUUCUGGAUGGUUUUUCUGAAAUGAUGCCAUAAGGAAUUUGCUUGAUAGCUGAUAUUAUGCUGUAUUCCCUAGUUUGGGAUGGAUCUUUUGAGAUCACCUCUGGACUAUGCUUAUCAACUUCAAUUCUUUC